CUCGCCUGACCACCCACGACUUUCCUCCGGGAACAUGCCAAAAAUCCAUCUCCUAAACCUUCUUUUUUUCUGCCCAUUUUUCCGACUUGUCUGUUCACCUUAAGCCUCUAACGUCCUUUUGAACAACACCAAUCUCUCCCACAUGCACAAUUUGAUGGCCAAUCCUCCCUUCUGAGCUGCAUGCUUUCAAUGAUUGGCCAAGUUAGCCUCACUUUCAACUCUUUCGUUCUUUCUUUUAGUUUUUGGCCUUCAUAAAAUGGUUCUUUUGCUACUUGAGGAUUGAAAGUAAUGCUCUUUUUGUAUUGAUUCUGGAUGACUCAACUUGUUUGUGCAUCAAAUUUGCUUCAAAGGUUGCACCAACCGAGAUCAAGUUUUCGGAUGUGUAUGCUGUUGUGCUGAUCAACUAUGGUGUGAUUCGUGGACCAAAUGUCUCGAAUGCUCGAAGAUAUUUACCGCUUUACGGUGCAUGGUUUCCAGAGCUCAAGGACUUUGCCGUCUGUUCCGGUCCUUGCUACAUAUAGAUUUGGUCAUAAGGAUCUCCACAUAUGUCAGAUAUGGGUCAAUCAAAUCAAUGCUUCUCUGGACUUAGAGCAGGGGAUGCCAAAGAAUCUUUUGAAGUGGGAAGGGAAAUGCCUGCAAAACUUGGGACAGUGUGGCUCCUAUAUUCUCCCGUGCUAAAGUGAAAACAAAGGUGAUUGUGACCGAAAGGGCAGUGCAUGCAUAUGAUGCGAUGGCAACUAUAGUAAACAGGGAGCUUAUUUCAUAUGAUGAAGUUAUGGCUGUUGGUGGUGAUGGCUUUUUCAACCAAAUUCUUAAUGGAUUUCUUUCUUCAAGGCAUAAAGCUCCAUAUCCACCAACUCCUUCAGAUUUCCUUGAUUCUGCUAGUUGUAAUGAGAGUCUCGUUGUAAAUGAUCCAAGUGAAACCGUUAUUGAAGCUUAUUCUCAGAAUAAUGAGCAGUCUCCCCUCCUCUCAAGUUCAAAUAUUAAUGGCUCAGGACUCAGGAGUCUCAAAUAUCAAUCAAGAGCCUGAGAUUUCCCUCCCCAUUGGACAUUUAAGAUUUGGACUUAUUCCUGCUGGCUCAUCUGAUCCCAUUGCGAUUUGGUACUCCUUUGCAUUUUUGAAUCAGCAUUAAGAAUUUUCUGCCUUAUUGUUUUCCCACUACCACGCCAUAUAUGAGAUUAUUGAUUUCCAGGGCAUAUUGAUAUGAUACUAUUCUUCCUAUAUUUCAGCUGAUAUUCUUUUAGUUGGUCCAACAACAGGUGUUUACCUUUAUUUUUUCUUUUUUCUGUACAACUGGGGCUCGAGAUCCUAUAACAUCUGCAUUUCGCAUUGUCCUUGGUAAAAGAGUGUGGCUUGAUGUAGCCCAAGUUGUGAGGUGGAAAACGGAAUCUACAUCACAGGUUGACCCUUACGUGCGCUGUGUGGCUCCUAGAUUUAGUUAAAUGCUAUAGCCAAUUGUGCUUGCUGAUAUGGUCAGUGUAAUGUGCAAUUUAGUAAGCAUUGUAGGCUUGAAGUCUUUACCUAGUGUGCUUUCCAUUUCUCUAGAGAAAUGGAUUCUUCCUAUAUUUCAGCUGAUAUUCUUGGAUCUGCAGCUGUACAAGUGGCAUUUGGUCCUCGAGCUCCAUGAGGACAUAUGGGGUACUGGGUACCAAAAGUAGAAAAUCUUGAUCAAGGGAGCAGCUUAGGAGUGAAAGGCUCUGACAACAGUCAUUCUGUCACCUUCACCUUUGGCGACCAAUGGAGCUGGAACUGAUGCACCUAUGGAUAUUGAUAUUGUGGAUUCAUCAACUUUGAAUGUCAAGAAUCAAUAUAUAGAGAUUUGGGAUUAUGAGAACAGCAAAUAUCCUACUACUCUGGAGACCCAGGUAUUCUCUAUAGAUGCAUUUUGAAAGUUACAUGACUUUUCUUUUCCAUGCAAUUGAUGGAUUUCAAUGAGUGUAAAAGUUGUUAUACAAAGAGAGACUGAUUUUUAUUGUAGACAAUGAUGAUCGAGCUUAUUACUCGGUUCUACUCAUUUUCUUUUAUAUACAUUCCUAAUGAGAAUGAAGUUGUUGAGGAUGCUGCAAAGGAGUAUGAUGAGAGUAUUAUAAAUUGUGCUUGUGUAGCUUACUUAUAUUGUGCAUAUAGCCUUGUUCCGGUAAUUGGGCACUCUACUUUUGAGUGCUGAACAGAGAAGGCUCCCUGAUUAUGCUGCUAUGCUCCUCCCACUUAGGAAGACCAUGUACAGAGGUGACAAAGGGAAAGAUUUUCCUGUGGUGAAUUACAUGUUCAGAAAAAGUCAGUGAUGCUGAAACUGUUAUAAGGAUACAUCAUGAAUUUGAGAAGUUCUUGCCUUUGCUUCCUCACUUUGGAUCCAAUGGAGCUGAAUUAAUUACAACUCUUCGAAGUUGAUUUAUUGAUGCUGAUGAUGUCUCUGUUACAUCAAAAGAAUCCAACCUCCGAAUAUUGACAGGAUUUCUGGUGCGAGAAGUUAAAGAAUUUCGGGGAGUGGCCUUUGCUCAUGUGUUGUGUGCUAGAUCGUUUGGAAUAUAACUUCACACUAGAAGGUAGCAGAGUGUUGCUUAGACAAGUUGAAAGGGCCAUAGUUGAUGAUCUGGGUCUUGACAAAGUCUGGGAUGUAAAGCCGUUAAUUACUUGAUGGGAAGGCUAGCUAUCAUAAAACAAUUGCAGCUAGCUUAAAUCUGGAGACCAGUUGUCAGUUAAUGGCAAAGGAAAGUAAUGGCAGCUAGCUCCUCCAUGGGGGACUGCAGAGAGGAAUGCAUAGAGUGGAUGAAGGAAACUCAAUCUUCAAAUUAGAAUUAAAACUUUCAAUAUUGAGAUAUGUUAUUAGUCGACACUGAAAAUGUACAACUUUGGGUUCAAUGAAUUUAGUUCACUUCAACUUCUCAUAAGUGUGGCCACUUGGGUGGAAGAAAGUGAUAUUGUUCUUUGGUAUGUAUUUGGAAC